CCUGUUCCCAUUCCGAACACAGAAGUUAAGCAUCAUCACGGCGAAGAUAGUACUUCGGUGCGAAAAUAGCUCGUUGCCAGUU
rnacentral:rRNA from 1 species